UGGCAUGGGGAUUGACAGAUUGUGAGUGACUUGAGCUCAGCCAACACCCUGUUUGUGCUCUCACGUCAUACUAGCUUGUCACACUAUAUGCUUGCUAACCAACUCUGUCUACUCUAGCAGUAAUACAGCCUGAAGAACAGUGAAUUUUGGUUUACAUGUUUUGGAUAUUAAACAUAUGGACAAAUCACACCUCAACUUCUUUGUACAGAUGACAUCAGACAUUUCCCUUUUUUCCUGCAUCUGCUUAAAACUCAAUUGUUGUAGGAGUCGGAUUUCUGUAGGGGUGAGUGCUUGUUUUUGGGAACCCCAGCUUUUUCUCCUGUUUUUUUUCUGGAUAGAUAGGAAGAAAGAGAAGAAACUGUGUUUUUGUUUCAUUUUGGUUCAAGUGAGGAAAGGUAGAAAGGUAAUAAAACUGGAGCUAGAAACCUUUUUGUUUAUUAUUCAGGCUGAGACUCUCCCUGACGCUUAUUCCGCAGCAGCAUACAUUUUACCACGUUUCAAUACAUAGAUAUGGACCCAAAUAUGCAAAAUCAUCUUUAUCAUGAUUAGAAUGACUAAUAUACGUAUAACUUCUUCAGUAAUUCACAGAGCACCUAUUAUACAACACAAAAUGCAUAUCAUGGGAUUCACAAAUUCAGGCAAAUGCACAACUGGGAUGCUUGACACUACCAACAAUUACAUUUAUGCACUAUGGCCAUGCCCACUAGUUCUACACUUCUGGAAAGAAAUCACUUCAAAACGAACACAAAUUUUUGAUAGCAGCAUUCCAUUAUCCCCCACUAUACACUUCCUGUGUGACAUGACAGAAUUAACAACUUCAUCCCUCAAGAUAAAAAAAAAAUCUAUCUUAACAGCUCUAUCUAUUGCCAAGAAAACCAUUUUGCUACACUGGAAAUCCAGGAAUAAACUCACCACAACGCAAUGGCUUAAUCUGCUCACAGACCAUUUAUUAAUUAAACAAAACUCCACCUCACAUAAUAAUCAAACUACUCAUUUCAACAAACACGAUAGUCAACUUCUCUAUGUCCUAAACAUACAGGCGAGUUAAUGCAAUUAUACUACGGAUAAUAAGUAUAAUAUUAUAAUAAUAUAUAAUCCAUUAUAUGUAUAUGUGUUUUAUAUAUUAUUAUUAUAUUAUACUUAUUAUGCAAUUAUAAUAUGAAUAAUGUGUAUAUGUAUUAUAUAUGCCUUUGAGCAAAUAAUAGUAAGAGAAUUCCUAAAUCGGCACAUAACUUGCCUCUUGGAGCAAUGCGUUCAUUGUGCAGGAGUGUUAGUGUCUGCGCUGAAUAACCCCAACAUGAACAAUUCAUAUCGAUUUUCCUAAAAUGUAGUCAUUUCCGCACCUGACAAUUGUAUACACCCCAUGGAAUCAUCACCGGAAUACUAAGCCACUUCUGGAUCUUAUGAACUCUUACCUGACUUACACUAUGAUUGUGGCCUAUGUUUAUUCCAAAAUCAACGUUGCACUUAGAUCUCUCAGACUGUGCAGGUGGCUACGACUACAGUUAAAGCUGAUUUUGUCCAAUCAUCACCAAAUUUGGCAUACUUCAUCUUCAGAUUAAGCCUCACAAAAAUUCUAAAAAGAAUUUUGAUUAUUCCAAAUGGUUUGCACGUAAUAUGCCAAAAAAUCUGAUGGCGAAACUGCCAAACAGGAAGUGAGGAUGUAUCUCAGCAACAACCUUGCACACUGACAAAUCUUGGUAGGCAUCUUCAGGACCAUGGUCUGAGGCUAUGCAGCAAAUUUUGUGACAGCACCACUUACUGGUCAAAAGUUACAAUAACAUGACCAAAAUGCUUCCAUCUAACUGUCAUUUUUGCUACUCCUCCUCUUUUGUCAAAUCUUCACCAAAUUUGGAUCACAUCACAUUGAGACCUGUCUAAACUUGCAGAAAAAAGGCCCAGACUGAUGAGAAAAAACAUCAAUACCUUAGAUGUUUUUAAAUUGCAAGAAGAAAAACAAUUUUAGGUCAGACCAGUAGCAAUCAUGGCCUCAGGUCAAAGUAGCAACAGACAACACCACAGGUCACAGCAGUAGUGGCAGCUGCUGCAGCAAUACCUGCUGCUCAUUUGUUCAUCUAGCCUUUUCUGCUAAACAGAGUAGAAUUCGAGUUGCUGUAGCUUUCCUGCCAGCUUGAACCAGUCUGGCCUUUCUCCUUUGACCUCUCUCAUCAACAAGGCAUUUCUGCCCACAGUACUGCUGCUCACUAAAUGUGUUUUUCCUCACCAGUCUGUGUCAAUUUUUAAGACCUAACAGUUCAGCAAUUUCUAAAAUACUCAAACCAGCCUUUCUGGCACAAACACCUAUAUCAUGGUCAAAGUCACACUGAGAUCACAUUUUUUCUCCAUUCUGAUUAAUGUAUACAUUACAUUACCUUACAUACAUUACAUCUGAUUCUGUUUAAUGUAUACAUUAAAUGAAGCUCUUGACCUGUAUCUGCAUGAUUUUAUGCAUCGAGCUGCUGCCACAUGAUUGGAUAAUUGCAGUGGAUGACAAAUCAAACAAACAAACAAAUCAAAGUGGAUUGGAUAAUCAAUAAGCAGGUGUACAGUUGUUCCUAAUAAAGUGGCCAGAAUGUGUAUUUCCAUGCAAUAUUCUUCUUUCUACUUACAGUGCAGUAGUUGUAUAUAGUGUCCACUUUUGUGUAACAAAUGUGUUUAUAAAGCAUGAUUCUAAUUCGGCUUUUUAGCUUGUUAAUGAAGAAUGACGAGCACAAUUUAUCAGUAUUUGAGCUUAUGGCCCUGAGUUUAUUCCUGUAUUUUGCUUCCUAAUUUGAUAACACAGACUUUUUUAAAACCUUU